UGCGUAGGCGGACUAAUAAGUCAGUGGUGAAAUCUUUCGGCUCAACCGAGAAACUGCCAUUGAUACUGUUAGUCUUGAGUUCGGUUGAGGUAGGCGGAAUGUGUAAUGUAGCGGUGAAAUGCUUAGAUAUUACACAGAACACCAAUUGCGUAGGCAGCUUACUAGACCGACACUGACGCUGAGGCACGAAAGCGUGGGGAGCGAACAGGAUUAGAUACCAUGGUAGUCC
rnacentral:rRNA from 1 species